CUUUGUGUUCUUCCACGGCUUUCUUGAACUGCAUCAUCAUCUCAUCUAUUUCUCAGAUUUAGAUGCUGCAGUUCAAUAAAGCUGUGGGAAGGUACAACGA
rnacentral:pre_miRNA from 1 species